CCAACAUCUGCAGUUACUAACUCAACAACAGUUACUACAGCACCAACAACUGUAACAAAUUCAACACCUAUUGCUACAACACAUCCAAACACUACAACACCCACAUCAUCA